rnacentral:rRNA from 1 species
UACGUAGGGGGCAAGCGUUGUCCGGAUUCAUUGGGCGUAAAGAGCGUGUAGGCGGCCAGGUAGGUCGGUUGUGAAAACUGGAGGCUCAACCUUCAGAGGUCGACCGAAACCAUCUGGCUAGAGUCCGGGAGAGGAGAGUGGAAUUCCUGGUGUAGCGGUGAAAUGCGCAGAUAUCAGGAAGAACACCCGUGGCGAAGGCAGCUCUCUGGACCGGUACUGACGCUGAGACGCGAAAGCGUGGGGAGCGAACAGG